rnacentral:rRNA from 1 species
CCUACGGGUGGCAGCAGUGGGGAAUAUUGCUCAAUGGGCGAAACCCUGAUGCAGCCACGUCGCGUGAGUGAAGAAGUAUCUCGGUACGUAAAGCUCUAUCAGCAGGGAAGAAAAUGACGGUACCUGACUAAGAAGCCCCGGCUCACUACGUGCCAGCAGCCGCGGUACUACGUAGGGGGCCAGCGUUGUCCGGAUUUACUGGGUGUUAAGGGAGCGUAGGCGGCAGCACAAGUGUGGCGUGAAAUGCCGGGGCUUAAACCCGGAACUGCGUUGGAAACUGGGCGGCUGGAGUGCAGGAGGGGGAAGCGGAAUGCGUGGUGUAGCGGUGAAAUGCGUAGAUAUUAGGAGGAACACCGGUGGCGAAGGCAGCUUACUGGACUGUAACUGACGUUGAGGCUCGAAAGCGUGGGGAGCAAACAGGAUUAGAUACCCCAGUAGUC